rnacentral:rRNA from 1 species
GACGAACGCUGGCGGCGUGCUUAACACAUGCCAGUCGAACGGAAAGGCCCUGCUUUUGUGGGGUGCUCGAGUGGCGAACGGGUGAGUAACACGUGAGUAACCUGCCCUUGACUUUGGUAUAACUUCAGGAAACUGGGGCUAAUACCGGAUAGGAGCUCCUGCUGCAUGGUGGGGGUUGGAAAGUUUCGGCGGUUGGGGAUGGACUCGCGGCUUAUCAGCUUGUUGGUGGGGUAGUGGCUUACCAAGGCUUUGACGGGUAGCCGGCCUGAGAGGGUGACCGGCCACAAUGGGACUGAGGUACGGCCCAGACUCCUACGGGAGGCAGCAGUGGGGAAUAUUGCACAAUGGGCGGGAGCCUGAUGCAGCAACGCCGCGUGCGGGAUGACGGCCUUCGGGUUGUAAACCGCUUUCGCCUGUGACGAAGCGUGAGUGACGGUAAUGGGUAAAGAAGCACCGGCUAACUACGUG